UACGUAGGGUCCGAGCGUUGUCCGGAAUUAUUGGGCGUAAAGGGCUCGUAGGCGGUCUGUCGCGUCGGGAGUGAAAACUUACAGCUUAACUGUGAGCGUGCUUUCGAUACGGGCAGACUUGAGGCAUUCAGGGGAGAACGGAAUUCCUGGUGUAGCGGUGAAAUGCGCAGAUAUCAGGAGGAACACCGGUGGCGAAGGCGGUUCUCUGGGCCUUACCUGACGCUGAGGAGCGAAAGCAUGGGGAGCAAACAGG
rnacentral:rRNA from 1 species